GAUGAACGCUGGCGGCGUGCUUAACACAUGCCAGUCGAACGAUGAAGCCCAGCUUGCUGGGUGGAUUAGUGGCGAACGGGUGAGUAACACGUGAGUAACCUGCCCUUAACUCUGGGAUAAGCCUGGGAAACUGGGUCUAAUACCGGAUAGGAGCGUCCACCGCAGGGUGGGUGUUGGAAAGAUUUAUCGGUUUUGGAUGGACUCGCGGCCUAUCAGCUUGUUGGUGAGGUAAUGGCUCACCAAGGCGACGACGGGUAGCCGGCCUGAGAGGGUGACCGGCCACACUGGGACUGAGACACGGCCCAGACUCCUACGGGAGGCAGCAGUGGGGAAUAUUGCACAAUGGGCGCAAGCCUGAUGCAGCGACGCCGCGUGAGGGAUGACGGCCUUCGGGUUGUAAACCUCUUUCAGUAGGGAAGAAGCGAAAGUGACGGUACCUGCAGAAGAAGCACCGGCUAACUACGUG
rnacentral:rRNA from 1 species